rnacentral:lncRNA from 1 species
CAGGGACACCCCCCGGCGGGGGCGGCGCCGGGCGGGACCCCCCCCGGGGGCACCUUCGCGCAGGACACGACCAAGUUCUGGUACAAACCGGGGCUGUCCCGGGAGGAAGCCGUGGCGCUGCUCAAGGCGGCCCCUCCCGGCUCCUUCCUCGUCCGCCGCAGCAGCAGCUUCCCGGGGGCGUUCGGGCUCGCGCUCAGGGUGGGGGUCCCGCCCCCCCGCGCCACCGCCAGAGUGGGGGACCCCCAGGAGCAGCUGGUCCGGCACUUCCUGAUCGAGACGGGCCCGCGGGGCGUCAAAAUCCGGGGGUGCCCCGAGGAGCCUUACUUUGGGAGCCUCCCAGCUCUGGUGCUGCAGCACUCCAUCACCCCUAUCUCACUGCCUUGCACCCUCCGCAUCCCCCAUGCAGGUGGGCACCCCAAAAACUGCAGGAACACCCAAAAACCCUGUGGAUACCCCACAACUCCUGCAUGACCCCAAAACCCCCACAGGGACCCCCCUCAAAGUGCAGUUACCCCACCCCAACCCCUUCCUGGGACACACCAAAACCCCCUGGGAGAAACCCAAAACCAUGGGACACCC